CGGCAACAGCUCAAAUUUGAAAGCUAGCCUUCGGGUUCGCAUUGUAAUUUGUAGAGGAUGAUUUGGGGAAGCCGCCUGUCUAAGUUCCUUGGAACAGGACGUCAUAGAGGGUGAGAAUCCCGUAUGUGACAGGAAAUGGCACCCUAUGUAAAUCUCCUUCGACGAGUCGAGUUGUUUGGGAAUGCAGCUCUAAAUGGGAGGUAAAUUUCUUCUAAAGCUAAAUAUUGGCGAGAGACCGAUAGCGCACAAGUAGAGUGAUCGAAAGAUGAAAAGCACUUUGGAAAGAGAGUUAAAAAGCACGUGAAAUUGUUGAAAGGGAAGCGCUUGCAAUCAGACUUGUUUAAACUGUUCGGCCGGUCUUCUGACCGGUUUACUCAGUUUGGACAGGCCAGCAUCAGUUUCGGCGGCCGGAUAAAGGCUCUGGGAAUGUGGCCUCCACUUCGGUGGAGGUGUUAUAGCCCAGGGUGUAAUACGGCCAGCCGGGACUGAGGUCCGCGCUUCGGCUAGGAUGCUGGCGUAAUGGUUGUAAGCGACCCGUCUUGA
rnacentral:rRNA from 1 species